ACGUAGGGUGCGAGCGUUAAUCGGAAUUACUGGGCGUAAAGCGUGCGCAGGCGGUUAUAUAAGUCAGAUGUGAAAUCCCCGGGCUUAACCUGGGAAAUGCAUUUGAGACUGUAUGACUAGAGUGUGGCAGAGGGAAGUGGAAUUCCACGAGUAGCGGUGAAAUGCGUAGAGAUGUGGAGGAACACCGAUGGCGAAGGCAGCCUACUGGGCCAAUACUGACGCUCAUGCACGAAAGCGUGGGGAGCAAACAG
rnacentral:rRNA from 1 species